rnacentral:misc_RNA from 1 species
GUGAAUCAUCGAAUUUUUGAACGCAAAUUGCGCUUCCUGUCAUCCCGGGAAGUAUGCCUGUUUGAGGUUCAGUAUUAAUAAAAAAUCGGUUUAGUUACAAAUUGUGUCGUUUCGGGAGUUUGGGUUAUCUUAACAUUUUGGGCUAAGAGGCUUAAAAUUGACCUUUUUUGCGCUUUUUUAAUUGUACAUAAAUUUUUUUUAUUCGUCUAUUCUUAAUGCUAAAAUUUAAUUA